rnacentral:rRNA from 1 species
AAAGAAAGAUUAAUACCUGAUAGUAUGGUGAGAUUGCAUGAUAACACCAUUAAAGAUUUAUUGGUAAACGAUGGGGAUGCGUUCCAUUAGGUAGUAGGCGGGGUAACGGCCCACCUAACCUGCGAUGGAUAGGGGUUCUGAGAGGAAGAUCCCCCACAUUGGAACUGAGACACGGUCCAAACUCCUACGGGAGGCAGCAGUGAGGAAUAUUGGUCAAUGGGCGAGAGCCUGAACCAGCCAAGUAGCGUGAAGGAUGGAGGUCCUACGGAUUGUAAACUUCUUUUAUACGGGAAUAAAGUAUCCAACGUGUAGGAUUUUGUAUGUACCGUAUGAAUAAGCAUCGGCUAACUCCGUGCCAGCAGCCGCGGUAAUACGGAGGAUGCGAGCGUUAUCCGGAUUUAUUGGGUUUAAAGGGAGCGCAGACGGGAGAUUAAGUCAGUUGUGAAAGUUUGCGGCUCAACCGUAAAAUUGCAGUUGAUACUGGUUUCCUUGAGUGCAGUUGAGGCAGGCGGAAUUCGUGGUGUAGCGGUGAAAUGCUUAGAUAUCACGAAGAACCCCGAUUGCGAAGGCAGCUUGCUAAACUGUAACUGACGUUCAUGCUAGAA